rnacentral:lncRNA from 1 species
AAUGUCGGUGGCUUUUCCACCGACAACCCUUAAUAAUUCCACAAAAAUACAUUUUACUCCCUUGGCCUCUGUCUGUGAUUCAUAAUUGAAGAAGAUGAUUAACGGAUGCUCGACUUUGACCCAACGAAUCGCUUGAAAUUUCCGCUUCUUCUUCAUUCGAAUAUUCGAUCGCACAGAAUGUGUUUUUUGCCGCUUUUCUUUUUCGUUUUGUUGGUUUAGCCAAAGGCAUGUUCUUGAUUUUUUAGUGCUUUCUUAAUUUUGUUUGUUGGAGGUGUGUUGUAAUUGAACGUUUUCUGAUGCAUGAGAGUUGAAAUAUCUCGAUUUUGCCUUUAGUGGAUUGGGUCGGUGUAUGCACUCCAACUGUUUGUUUGCUUGACUCAGAGGUGUUGAAAUAUCUAAAUUAUACUCUUGCAUAUGAAGUAUGCUGAUGUUCCAUUGUGUAAUGCAGGGAGCGGUACUCUUUAGCCGGCAUAAAUAAUACAAGUGAUGGGAACUUUUUGAAGACAAAUCAAAGUGCAGAGAGCAUAUUAUAGUUUCCAAGAAGCCCAACCAAAUUAAGAAGACCAAUUUCUCUUUAAAGUAUACUAGUCAACUCAAAACGUUUCGUCGUAAAUUUAGUCUGAAUUGAAUGGGGUCAAAUAUAAUACGUUCUUAUUCAACGAUAUAAAUUCGAGUUAAUGUAUGUUUCGACCCCGCCGCAAUGCGCUAGGGGUAAAACUUCAACCCUUGAUAUGAAUGUCUUUUGAUUACACGUGUCAGUUUUUCUUUUAUACACGUUUUAUGUUUUUUUUGUACAUUUCCUAUGUAUGAGUUGGGUCAUAUAUAAAUAUGUUAUGAUUGUACAGUAUAAAUUCGAUUACCUUACAUUUUGAUCCAACCGCAAUGCUAUUGAGUUAUAUCGGAUAAGUCAAAACGCGUGUUUUCAUAUGGUGUACACAUCACAUAACGCUUAUACUAAUCCGUUCGAUGUUCGCACUGUACCCGCGCGGGUCUAAUUACUAGUUGUUUUUAAAUCAAUAUUACAUAUUCACUAUUCUUAUUAAGACUUGAGUAUCAAUGAUAAUGUCUAUCUAAAAUAAAUACGUACACGAGCCACCAAGACCGAAAAUAAAUACUAACCUUCUCAAUGUUGUCCAUCAUAAUCCCUUUAACCUCUGUUAUCUGAGCUU